GAUUUCUGGUAUGGCGCACUUGGCCCGCCGAGGUUACUCGGUUCGUGUGCCGGUGUGCGCCUUCCAUCCUUCUGGCUCAACGGCUCUACCCUUCACUGGGUGGGAGUCGCUAACCAGAUCAUUUACUUUGAAAAAAUUAGAGUGUUUAAAGCAGGCUUGCGCUAUGAAUACAUUAGCAUGGAAUAAUAAUUUAGGACUUUGGUCUUAUUUUGUUGGUUUCUAGGACUAAAGUAAUGAUUGAUAGGGAUAGUUGGGGGUGCUAGUAUUCAGCGGCCAGAGGUGAAAUUCUUGGAUUCGCUGAAGACUAACUUAUGCGAAAGCAUU
rnacentral:rRNA from 1 species